UGUACUAAAUUUUUAUUUCUCUAUCUAACUAUAUUUCAUUUAUUUUCUUCUGAAAUCUAUUUUAUUUCCUACCGAAAUUUAUUUUAUUUUUCUACCAAAAUUUAUUUUAUUUUCUACCGAAAUUUCGGCAGCAUCUCCCCUAAAAAUUGGACUAUCUACCUGUUAAAAUAUCAACAAUAUAUCAAUAAUUCUAAACCACACAGCCCAUCCAUCGGGCAAUCAAUCAAUUCAAUUUUUCCCAUCCUCCAUCCGAAUAAC
rnacentral:lncRNA from 1 species